rnacentral:rRNA from 1 species
UUUGGAAUAUUGCACAAUGGGGGAAACCCUGAUGCAGCGACGCCGCGUGGAGGACGAAGGAUCUAGGUCUGUAAACUCCUUUUGCCAGGAAAGACUUAGGACGGUACCUGGCGAAUAAGCCCCGGCUAACUACGUGCCAGCAGCCGCGGUAAGACGUAGGGGGCGAGCGUUGUCCGGAUUUACUGGGCGUAAAGAGCGCGUAGGCGGCUAGUUAAGUGAGAAGUGAAAUCUCCAGGGCUCAACCCGGAAACUGCUUUUCAUACUGGCCAGCUGGAGGGACGCAGGGGUGACUGGAAUUCCCGGUGUAGCGGUGGAAUGCAUUGGUAUCGGGAGGAACUCCAACAGCGAAGGCAGGUCACUGGGCGUUUCCUGACGCUGAGGCGCGAAAGCGUGGGUAGCAAACAG